rnacentral:rRNA from 1 species
UGAGUAACCUGCCUUCAGCUUUGGGAUAACCCUCGGAAACGGGGGCUAAUACCGGGUAUUCAGCUUCUGCGGCAUCGUGGGGGUUGGAAAGUUUUUCGGCUGGGGAUGGGCUCGCGGCCUAUCAGCUUGUUGGUGGGUAAUGGCCUACCAAGGCGGCGACGGGUAGCCGGCCUGAGAGGGCGACCGGCCACACUGGGACUGAGACACGGCCCAGACUCCUACGGGAGGCA